UACGAGGGAGGCAAGCGUUGUUCGGAUUUAUUGGGCGUAAAGGGUGCGUAGGCGGUCUGGCAAGUCUUGUGUGAAAUCUUCGGGCUCAACCCGAAGUCUGCACAAGAAACUGCCGGGCUUGAGUAUGGGAGAGGUGAGUGGAAUUUCCGGUGUAGCGGUGAAAUGCGUAGAUAUCGGAAGGAACACCUGUGGCGAAAGCGGCUCACUGGACCAUAACUGACGCUGAGGCACGAAAGCUAGGGGAGCAAACAGG
rnacentral:rRNA from 1 species